rnacentral:rRNA from 1 species
UACGGGGGAGCAAGCGUUGUUCGGAUUUACUGGGCGUAAAGGGCGUGCAGGCGGUUUGUUAAGUCUAGGGUGAAAGCUCCCGGCUCAACUGGGAGAGGUCCUUGGAUACUGGCGAACUUGAGGGAUGCAGAGGAAAGUGGAAUUCUCGGUGUAGCGGUGAAAUUGCGUAGAUAUCGAGAGGAACACCUGCGGCGAAGGCGGGUUGCUGGGCUGAUACUGACGCUGAGGCGCGAAAGCCAGGGGAGCGAACGGG